AGUAUCUCAAAAGCUUAUGCCUAUUUUGUGGCAUGGGACUUUUGGACAAUGGGAGUUGCCGGUCACUGACAAAAAGUGGCGGGCUCUUCUGAAAAGUAUUAGUUGAGGAGCUUUGCACUCUAUUGGUGUGAUAGAUUAUCUAUGCCAGGAGAUGCUUUAUGUAUGAUCCUCUGCUGUCUAACCAUCUUUAUUGGACAAACAUGAUGA
rnacentral:misc_RNA from 1 species